AUUUAAGUAGUUUAAUUUAAAAUAUUAAUUUGUGGAGUUAGUGAUACAGUUUAUUGUCUUAAAUA
rnacentral:tRNA from 1 species